rnacentral:lncRNA from 1 species
CAUUCUCAAGUUAUGCAUUAAGAAUCCCAUGGCAGUUUUUCGAAAGAGGAUGACCUCAGUGUCUCAGUGAAAAUUCCCUCUCUAGGAGAGUUACUGCUGUGUAUUCAAUGACUGCUGAAUUUGCCUACAGUUUUUCUAGGCACAGAGGAUACAAAGAUGAAAAUGAAGCAGUUUGUGCCCUCAAAAAGCAUUCUACAGGAGAAAAAAUAGAUAUAAAGCAAGCCCAAGGUAAUUGGAAAUUCGGAUAGGGACAAUUGGCAGCUGUCCUGGGAUCAGGAAAGGCCUCAGUAGGAAACUGAGUCCCAAGAAAUAUUAUGUGACUUCAUCAAGAGGCUAGAGGUAAGUUUGGAGUAGGACCAGAAUUGUAACAUGAAUGUUGUGCUUCCUGAUUAAAUUUCUUUACCCAUUACAUCAUGAUUCCUUCCAUGUUUUUGUUGUUUGUUUUCCUAUUGUCAACCCACUUGUCCUUUGAUGAUAUUCCAGACUCUUUUUUGAGUUUCCUGUAGGUCUUUUUAUUUAGUUACUAAAAUUUUGGGGAAAGAAGAAAUAAUUCCUGAAUUCUGUUUGAGACAUAAUUUUGUUUGAGUUUGAGUUUGAGUUUGAGUUUGUUUGAGUUUGAGACUACGACCCUCAGACAUGCUUUUUGAAUUUGAUUCUGCUUUUUAAUAGCAGCUCCUUGAGGGCAGGAAUUGUCUAUGUAAUUUUCUUUAAGCAAUACCAGUAUCACUUAGCAAAUGCUUUUAGAUGGGAAUACUAUUUCUCUAAAUAAAAAUGAUCAAUUACAAUAGUCA